rnacentral:rRNA from 1 species
UGACGAGUUUGAUCCUGGCUCAGAAUGAACGCUGGCGGCAGGCCUAACACAUGCAAGUCGAACGGGUCCUUCGGGACUAGUGGCGGACGGGUGAGUAACGCGUGGGAACGUGCCCUUUGGUUCGGAAUAGCCCCGGGAAACUGGGAGUAAUACCGGAUAAGCCCUUCGGGGGAAAGAUUUAUCGCCAAAGGAGCGGCCCGCGUCUGAUUAGCUAGUUGGUGAGGUAAUGGCUCACCAAGGCGACGACGGGUAGCCGGCCUGAGAGGGCGACCGGCCACACUGGGACUGAGACACGGCCCAGACUCCUACGGGAGCAGCAGUGGGAAUAUGGGCAAUGGAGGAAACUCUGACCCAGCGACGCCGCGUGCGGGGAUGAA